rnacentral:rRNA from 1 species
AAAGAUUAAGCCAUGCAUGUCUAAGUAUAAGCAAUUAUACCGUGAAACUGCGAAUGGCUCAUUAAAUCAGUUAUCGUUUAUUUGAUAAUACCUUACUACUUGGAUAACCGUGGUAAUUCUAGAGCUAAUACAUGCUGAAAAUCCCGACUUCGGAAGGGAUGUGUUUAUUAGAUAAAAAACCAAUGCCCUUCGGGGCUUUUUGGUGAUUCAUGAUAACUUUACGGAUCGCAUAGCCUUGCGCUGGCGACGGUUCAUUCAAAUUUCUGCCCUAUCAACUUUCGAUGGUAAGGUAUUGGCUUACCAUGGUUUCAACGGGUAACGGGGAAUUAGGGUUCGAUUCCGGAGAGGGAGCCUGAGAAACGGCUACCACAUCCAAGGAAGGCAGCAGGCGCGCAAAUUACCCAAUUCCGACACGGGGAGGUAGUGACAAUAAAUACUGAUACAGGGCUCUUUUGGGUCUUGUAAUUGGAAUGAGUACAAUUUAAACCUCUUAACGAGGAACAAUUGGAGGGCAAGUCUGGUGCCAGCAGCCGCGGUAAUUCCAGCUCCAAUAGCGUAUAUUAAAGUUGUUGCAGUUAAAAAGCUCGUAGUUGAAACUUGGGCCUGGCUGGCGGGUCCGCCUCACCGCGUGCACUCGUCCGGCCGGGCCUUCCUUCUGAAGAACCUCAUGCCCUUCACUGGGCGUGCUGGGGAAUCAGGACUUUUACUUUGAAAAAAUUAGAGUGUUCAAAGCAGGCCUUUGCUCGAAUACGUUAGCAUGGAAUAAUAAAAUAGGGCGUGCGUUUCUAUUUUGUUGGUUUCUAGAGACGCCGCAAUGAUUAACAGGAACAGUCGGGGGCAUCAGUAUUCAGUUGUCAGAGGUGAAAUUCUUGGAUUUACUGAAGACUAACUACUGCGAAAGCAUUUGCCAAGGAUGUUUUCAUUAAUCAGUGAACGAAAGUUAGGGGAUCGAAGACGAUCAGAUACCGUCGUAGUCUUAACCGUAAACUAUGCCGACUAGGGAUCGGGCGAUGUUCUUUUUCUGACUCGCUCGGCACCUUACGAGAAAUCAAAGUUUUUGGGUUCUGGGGGGAUUAUGGUCGCAAGGCUGAAACUUAAAGAAAUUGACGGAAGGUCACCACCAGGCGUGGAGCCUGCGGCUUAAUUUGACUCAACACGGGGAAACUCACCAGGUCCAGAUGAAAUAAGGAUUGACAGAUUGAGAGCCCUUUCUUGAUUUUUCAGGUGGUGGUGCAUGGCCGUUCUUAGUUCGUGGGGUGACUUGUCUGCUUAAUUGCGAUAACGAGCGAGACCUUACUCUGCUAAAUAGCCAGGCUAACUUUGGUUGGUCGCCGGCUUCUUAGAGAGACUAUCAACUCAAGUUGAUGGAAGUUUGAGGCAAUAACAGGUCUGUGAUGCCCUUAGAUGUUCUGGGCCGCACGCGCGCUACACUGACAGAGCCAACGAGUUCUUUUCCUUGUUCGAAAGAAUUGGGUAAUCUUGUUAAACUCUGUCGUGCUGGGGAUAAAGCAUUGCAAUUAUUGC